rnacentral:rRNA from 1 species
UCGCCUGUUUACCAAAAACAUCGCUCCUUGAAUUACAAACAUAAGGAGUCCUGCCUGCCCAGUGACUAGAGGUUAAACGGCCGCGGUAUCUUGACCGUGCGAAGGUAGCAUAAUCAUUUGUCUCCUAAAUAGAGACUAGUAUGAAUGGCAAGACGGAACAAAACUGUCUCUUUCUCACAAACCCGAAUUUCACUUUCCCGUGAAGAGGCGAGGAUAAAAUCGCUAGACGAGAAGACCCUGUCGAGCUUAAGCAAAACCCAAACACAUAAUUUAUUUAUUCUGCCCUAAUCCAUAGUUUUAGUCAGAAAUAAAUUCUUAUUUCCUUUGGUAAAAGCUUUGGUUGGGGCAACCGCGGAGUAAAAUAACCCUCCGCUAAUAAGACACUAUACAAAGAGCUACAACUCUAAAAUCAAAAAUGAAACUAAUGAUCCACUAAGGUGAUCAAAGGAACAAGUUACCGCAGGGAUAACAGCGUUAUCUUUUCUGAGAGUUCACAUUGACGAAAAGGUUUGCGACCUCGAUGUUGGAUCGGGACAUCCUAAGGGUGCAGAAGCUUUUAAGGGUUGGUCUGUUCGACCAUUAAAGUCCUACGUGAUCUGAGUUCAGACCGGUGAAAGCCAGGUCAGUUUCUAUCUACGA